UCUGCUUAGUAGAGGAAUAGAAGUGAACAAACAACAUACUCAACCAAAAUUAAAUAAAGCCUCCAAACAGGGAUAUAUGGCAGUACUAUACCACACUGAUUGGAAUAGAAUCGAACAACUAGUCACCCAAUCAGCAGAGAUCUAUUGCAGCUAAACCCCAAUGAAAGCUAUACCUAAAGCAAAAAAAGAAAAACAAAAGAGUAUAUAAAACCUGAAAUUAGAAAGGACAGGAAGGCCUCCUUUUCUAAACAUUUUAAAGAAUAAAACAGUUAUAUAAAAAAUAAUUAAAAACAAAGAAGAAAAGAUACACACCAUAGCAGUGACUCUGAGAGUUGAAAUUGAGAACUUCAGUAUCAGAGAUCA
rnacentral:lncRNA from 1 species